rnacentral:ncRNA from 1 species
CAUGAACAUCAAAAGAGAAUUGGGUUAAUAUUCCCAAACCAGGACAUGGUGGUGGAAAACAAUGUUAGGAAAUCUGGAGAUGUCAUCGGGAGCCUGGGAAGAGUUAUCUUUUCAUUUUAACGACUUUCCCACCCUGAAAUUGGUUCAACCGAAGAUAGGGUCCAACAUCUGAAAGAGCACCACACGUCUUGCGGUGUUUGGUGCCCCCUCGACGACCAUUGUAAAUAUGGUGAACCGAGUACCAUCCAUGCCCGAUCGUACUCAUAUCUGCCUCC